rnacentral:misc_RNA from 1 species
UAGCAAUAGCCCUGAUAAGUGU